UGUAAACUACCAACUCCAGAGGGUAAACUACCCACUCCAGAGGGUAAACUACCAACACCAGAGGGUAAACUACCAACUCCAGAGGGUAAACUACCAACUCCGGGGGUGUAGAAGGUAAACUACCAACUCCAGAGGGUGUAGAGGGUAAACUACCAACUCCAGAGUGUAAACUACCAACUCCAGAGGGUAAACUACCCACUCCAGAGGGUAAACUACCAACACCAGAGGGUAAACUACCAACUCCAGAGGGUAAACUACCAACUCCAGGGGUGUAGAGGGUAAACUACCAACUCCAGAGGGUAAACUAUCAACUCCAGGGGUAAACUACCAACUCCAGAGGGUAAACUACCAACUCCAGGGGUAAACUAUCAACUCCAGGGAUGUAGAGGGUAAACUACCAACUCCAGGGGUAAACUACCAACUCCAGGGGUAAACUAUCAACUCCAGGGAGGUAGAGGGUAAACUACCAACUCCAGGGGGUAAACUACCAACUCCAGGGGUAAACUACCAACUCCAGGGGUGUAGUGGGUAAACUACCAACUCCAGAGGGUAAACUACCAACUCCAGGUGUAAACUAUCAACUCCAGGGAUGUAGAGGGUAAACUAUCAACUCCAGGGGUGUAGAGGGUAAACUACCAACUCCAGGGGGUAAACUACCAACUCCAGGGGUGUAGUGGGUAAACUACCAACUCCAGAGGGUAAACUAUCAACUCCAGGGGUGUAAAGGGUAAACUACCAACUCCAGAGGGUAAACUACCAACUCCAGAGGGUGUAGAGGGUAAACUACCAACUCCAGAGGGUAAACUACCAACUCCAGAGGUUAAACUACCAACUCCAGAGGGUAAACUACC